GAGUCAUAGUUUAGUGGUAGAGGAUCAGCUUUGCAUGGAGAAUGUCCCAGGUUCAAUCCCUGAUGGCAUCU